rnacentral:tRNA from 1 species
AGGGGAGUGAGCCAACGGUCAAGCGCGCGGUCUCCAAAACCGUGAAUCCGGGUUCGAAUCCCGGCUCCCCUG